rnacentral:lncRNA from 1 species
AAAUGAACAAAAAAGAGAAAAAGGAGAAAAGAAAAUAAAUGAACAAAAAAGAGAAAAAAGAGAAAAGCUAAAAAAAGAAAAAAGAUAAAGAAAAAAGAAAAAAGAGAAAAUAGAAAUAAAAAAGAGGACAGAAAAAUAUGAAAAGAAGAAAAAAGAAAAAAAGAAAAUAAAAAAAUAAUAGAUGAAAAAAGAAAAAACGAAAGGAAAAACGGAUAAUGACAAGAGAAGAAAGGUAAAGAGAAAAGAAGAAAAAAGCCAAGUCAAAAAGUAAAGAAUAACUCGAAGGAAGGAGUGGAUGGCAAGAAAUACAGAGAAAGCAAUGCAUAGCACAGCAAAGCAAAGCAAGGCAAAAUAGCAGCCAAAGCCACGAGAAUCAAGAAGUCAGUGAAGAGCAGGAAAGGAAUGGAGGAAUCUGGCCAGAGCUGUGCCCCUGCUUGCCACAGGAGCUGCGCGGGAGGAGAAGAAUGUGGGCCAAAAGAUUUGUUUUGCUUGCAGGUGUUCCACUUUGGCUUUGUAUGACACAGUGGACGAGAGGGUACGGCGUUCAGUGGAACAAACACUGCAGACCCUGGGGAGAAUCAAAGCAGGAGAGAGGAAAUGUGCCCUUUGCAGCAGGGGCCCUUGUGCUGGCAUUACCCAUCGCAUCCACUGCUGCUGUGGUCCUUUCUUUCCUUUGGGCAGUUUGCUGUCUCUCAAGGUGUUGUCUACAAUAGGUG